AUAUAAUUCUCUUAUACAAAAACAUUCUCUAAAAAAAGGUCAGAACCAUGCACAAUUUUAGUUGAGACAGUUUUACAGUCAUUGAAAGUUCAAAGACAGGCUUACCAUGAAAAAAGUUUCAUUGGCAAUCAUGUGCAUAUAAUGCUAAAGAAAUCAUCUAUACUUACCAUAUUGUGUACGACCAAGGGUUAUCAGGUACCAAUAUACAUCAACGAGCAAUUGAUAUAAGCACUAAAUAUAAGAAGCUGUUUAAUAAGUUUGCUCAAUGUUAUAAUAUAUUUUCUUCCAAAAGUACUAUGACAGCAGACAUAAUAAGAUUUCUGCAAAAAGCAAUUAACGAUUUAAUGAUUUUCUUUCGUUGUACAUGGCCAGAUGCUUUAGUGACACCAAAACUUCAUAUGCUUGAGUCCCAUGCUGUUCCGUUUUUGCAGAAAUGGGGUGCAGGAUUUGGUUAUUAUGGUGAGCAAGGUGGAGAAUCGAUUCAUAUAGAAUUUAACAAAUUGAAAACCGUAUACCAAUCGAUUCCAUGCCCGAAUAUGAAAUUAAAAAGUAUUUUGAAAAAUCAACAUCAAACGACAAAUCCGGAGAACAUACGACUUAGGCCACCUUUAUAUAGAAGAAAAAGAUGUUAAAAAAAAUUGUACUGUUGUGUAAAUAAU